rnacentral:rRNA from 1 species
AGUGAACGCUGGCGGUAGGCCUAACACAUGCAAGUCGAACGGCAGCACAGUAAGAGCUUGCUCUUACGGGUGGCGAGUGGCGGACGGGUGAGGAAUACAUCGGAAUCUACUUUUUCGUGGGGGAUAACGUAGGGAAACUUACGCUAAUACCGCAUACGACCUACGGGUGAAAGCAGGGGAUCUUCUGACCUUGCGCGAUUGAAUGAGCCGAUGUCGGAUUAGCUAGUUGGCGGGGUAAAGGCCCACCAAGGCGACGAUCCGUAGCUGGUCUGAGAGGAUGAUCAGCCACACUGGAACUGAGACACGGUCCAGACUCCUAAGGGAGGCAGCAGUGGGGAAUAGUGGACAAAGGGCGGAAGCCUGAUCCAGCCCUACCGAGUGGGUGGAAGAGGCCUUCCGGUUGUAAAGCCCUUUUGUUGGGAAAGAAAAGCAGCAGGUUAAUACCCAGCUGUUCUGACGGUACCCAAAGAAUAAGCACCGGCUAACUUCGUG